rnacentral:rRNA from 1 species
GAUGAACGCUGGCGGCGUGCCUAAUACAUGCAAGUCGAGCGAACAGACGAGGAGCUUGCUCCUCUGACGUUAGCGGCGGACGGGUGAGUAACACGUGGAUAACCUACCUAUAAGACCGGGAUAACUUCGGGAAACCGGAGCUAAUACCGGAUAAUAUAUUGAACCGCAUGGUUCAAUAGUGAAAGACGGUUUUGCUGUCACUUAUAGAUGGAUCCGCGCCGCAUUAGCUAGUUGGUAAGGUAACGGCUUACCAAGGCGACGAUGCGUAGCCGACCUGAGAGGGUGAUCGGCCACACUGGAACUGAGACACGGUCCAGACUCCUACGGGAGGCAGCAGUAGGGAAUCUUCCGCAAUGGGCGAAAGCCUGACGGAGCAACGCCGCGUGAGUGAUGAAGGUCUUCGGAUCGUAAAACUCUGUUAUUAGGAAAGAACAAAAGUGUGAGAAACUAUGCACGUCUUGACGGUACCUAAUCAGAAAGCCACGGCUAACUACGUG